UGUGUGGACGCAGAGCAAGUUUUACAAUGUCACACUUGAGACCAAAGAAGCUGGCUAGGCUAGGGAGAAUUUUUGAAGUAAAUAAUCUUCAAGUGGUGGUGAACAGGUCCAUGCGAGAUUCAGCAGCCAAUGUUGUGCCUUGUCAACUAUCACAUAGUCAAUUCAACCCUAUGACCUUUUCUUUACAGGUAUGUUCGUUGCUAUAAAUACCCUUCCAUUGCCUCCCUCCAUUUUCAUCAUCAACCUCUGAAUUCUCACCCUACAUAUUACAAACACAUCGAAGAAGCCAGAGAACAGAAAUAAUCAAAGAAAACCCUUACAUUUUCUCAGAAAAAAAGGGAAAAAACCAUAUACAAUAUUAUGGCCUCUUUACAAGCUUCAAGCUUUCUUUUCUCUUCUUCUUGUUCUUGUAGUUGUUCAACAAGAAUCAAUGCUGCUGUUUCGGUACCUAAGCUUCCAAGAUUCCGUCUCCCAGUUCCAAGAACCCCAUUAAGAUUUGUUGAGGACCUGAAUUUAAAAGAUGGGCUCACAAGUACAGUCCCAUUAUUAGAAAACACAAGGCCAGAUCAGUGUGAGCCAAUCGAGUCUAAAACUACUGCAGCAGCAGCCAAGCUUUACGCAAUCUUAGAAGCUGUUUCUGAUAGAGUAGAGAUGCACAAAAACAUUGGGGAGCAACGUGACAAUUGGAACAAACUUCUUUUGAAUUCAAUUAACAUGAUCACUCUAACGGCAGCAACAAUGGCUGGUGUUGCAUCAGCUGGUACAGUUGGAGCACCUCUUUUGGCUUUGAAGUUAUCUUCUACUCUUUUAUUUUCUGCAGCUACUGGAAUGUUACUGAUCAUGAACAAAAUCCAGCCUUCACAGCUUGCAGAAGAGCAAAGAAAUGCCACAAGAUUGUUCAAGCAACUUUAUAGCCAUAUACGAACAACACUUGCUCUUCGCGAUCCUACCGCGUUAGAUGUGAAGGAUGCAAUGGAGAAGACAUUGGCUCUUGAUAAAGCUUACCCUCUUCCUUUGUUAGGAAAAAUGAUUGAAAAGUUUCCUGAAAAAUUUGAGCCUGCUGUUUGGUGGCCUAAAACACAAGGAUCCCCAAGAAAGCAGCGCAAAACACAAGGAAAGAAUGGGUGCAGUGGAGAUCUUGAAGAGGAGAUGAGGGAGGUGAUUGAAGUGAUAAAGAGAAAAGAUAGUGAAGAUUACAUGAGGCUAGGCAACUUGGCAUUGAAGGUUAACAAGAUCUUAGCCAUCUCUGGUCCAUUACUCACUGGCAUUGCAGCUGCUGGGUCUGCCUUUGUAGGCCAUGGAUCUUGGGCAGCGAUUGUGGCUGUCACAGCUGGUGCAUUAGCUAGCACAGUCAAUACAUUUGAGCACGGUGGCCAAAUCGGUAUGGUAGUUGAAAUGUACAGAAACUGUGCUGGAUUCUUUACACUUAUGGAAGAAUCAAUUGAAACCAGCAUUCAACAAAGAGAUUUCGAGAAAAGCGAAGACGGAGAAAUGUUUGAAAUGAAUGUUGCAUUGAAGCUUGGAAGAAGCUUGUCACAACUGAGAGAUCUUGCCAGAAAAUCCUCUUCUUCUCAUGUAGAUGGAAGCACCAUAGAUGAGUUUGCUAGCAAACUUUUUUGAUAGUAUUAGACCUCUCUGUCCAUAACUAAUUCACAUUCUUUUAAAAAUUCCUUUUGUACAUCAAAUAACAUGUAUAGAUUAUCACAAAUGAUAUUCAAUUUUUUCCUCAAGAAUAUGUUCAAGUAUGAGAAA